GACGAACGCUGGCGGCGUGCCUAAUACAUGCAAGUAGGACGCAGUCGCGAACGGGUGAGUAACGCGUAGGUAACUGCCUAGUAGAGGGGGCUAACUAUUGGAAACGAUAGCUAAUACCGCAUACUAGUAGAUGGACCUGCGUUGUAUUGGCUAGUAGGUAGGGUAAUGGCCUACCUAGGCGACGAUACAUAGCCGACCCGGUGGGGUUUUCGGCCACACUGGGACUUGGGCACGGCCCAGAAUCCUACGGGAGGCAGCAGUAGGGAAUCAUCGGCAAUUGGGGGAACCCUUACCGAGCAAAGCCGCGGGAGUUAAGAAGGUUUUCGGAUCGGAAAGCUCUGUUGUUAAGGAAGCGGUACUUAACCAGGAAGGGACGGCUAACUACGUGCCAGCAGCCGCGGUAAUUC
rnacentral:rRNA from 1 species